rnacentral:rRNA from 1 species
AGAGUUUGAUCCUGGCUCAGGAUGAACGCUGGCGGCGUGCCUAACACAUGCAAGUCGAGCGAGAAAUUUGUUGAACAAAUCUUCGGAUGAGUAAUAUAAAUGGAAAGCGGCGGACGGGUGAGUAACGCGUAGGCAACCUGCCCCAUACAGAGGGAUAGCCUCGAGAAAUCGGGAUUAAAACCUCAUACUGCCAGAGAAUCACAUGGUUUUUUGGUGAAAGAUUUAUCGGUAUGGGAUGGGCCUGCGUCUGAUUAGCUAGUUGGUGAGGUAACGGCUCACCAAGGCCGCGAUCAGUAGCAGAACUGAGAGGUUCAUCUGCCACAUUGGAACUGAGACACGGUCCAAACUCCUACGGGAGGCAGCAGUGAGGAAUAUUGCACAAUGGGCGAAAGCCUGAUGCAGCAACGCCGCGUGAGCGAAGAAGGCCUUUGGGUCGUAAAGCUCUGUCCUUGGGGAAGAAAAAAAUGACGGUACCCUUGGAGGAAGCCCCGGCUAACUACGUGCCAGCAGCCGCGGUAAUACGUAGGGGGCGAGCGUUAUCCGGAAUUAUUGGGCGUAAAGAGUGCGUAGGUGGUCUUGUAAGCGUGGGGUGAAAGGCAGUGGCUUAACCAUUGUUAGCCUUGCGAACUGUGAGACUUGAGUGCAGGAGAGGAAAGUGGAAUUCCUAGUGUAGCGGUGAAAUGCGUAGAUAUUAGGAGGAACAUCAGUGGCGAAGGCGACUUUCUGGACUGUAACUGACACUGAGGCACGAAAGCGUGGGGAGCAAACAGGAUUAGAUACCCUGUAGUCCACGCCGUAAACGAUGAGUAC